rnacentral:rRNA from 1 species
CACGUAGGGUGCGAGCGUUGUCCGGAAUUAUUGGGCGUAAAGAGCUCGUAGGCGGUGUGUCGCGUCGGCCGUGAAAACCUGCAGCUUAACUGUGGGCUUGCGGUCGAUACGGGCAUCACUGGAGUUCGGCAGGGGAGACUGGAAUUCCUGGUGUAGCGGUGAAAUGCGUAGAUAUCUGGAGGAACACCGGUGGCGAAGGCGGCAUCCUGGACCGACACUGACGCUGAGGCGCGAAAGCGUGGGGAGCAAACAGG